rnacentral:rRNA from 1 species
UACGUAGGGACCAAGCGUUGUUCGGAUUUACUGGGCGUAAAGGGCGCGUAGGCGGCAAUUCAAGUCAGCUGUGAAAUCUCCGAGCUUAACUCGGAACGGUCAGCUGAUACUGUUUUUGCUAGAGUACAGAAGGGGCAAUCGGAAUUCUUGGUGUAGCGGUGAAAUGCGUAGAUAUCAAGAGGAACACCUGAGGUGAAGACGGGUUGCUGGGCUGAUACUGACGCUGAGGCGCGAAAGCUAGGGGUAGCAAAACGGG